AUUGAACGCUGGCGGCAGGCCUAACACAUGCAAGUCGAGCGGAUGGAGGGUGCUUUUUCCUGUAUUCAGUGGCGGACGGGUGAGUAAUGACUAGGAGUAUGACUGGCAGUUGGGGCUAACGUACGGGAAGGGAAGCUAAUAUAGCAUACGAUGUGAUUGAGAAAGUGGUGGAUCUUAGGAGCAAGCGCUACCAGAUGAGCCUAGGUCGGAUUAGCUAGUUGGUGGGGUAAAGGGCUACCAAGGCGACGAUCCAUAACUGCUCUGAGAGGCUGAUCAGUCACACUGGAACUGAGACACGGUCCAGACUCCUACGGGAGGCAGCAGUGGGGAAUAUUGCGCAAUGGGCGAAAGCCUGACGCAGCAACGCCGCGUGUGUGAAGAAGGUCUUCGGAUUGUAAAACUCUGUUAUUAGGGAAGAAGAGAUGUGAGAGUAACCGUGCAUGUCUUGACGUUACCUACAGAAUAAGCCCCGGCUAACUACGUG
rnacentral:rRNA from 1 species